UACGUAGGGUCCAAGCGUUGUCCGGAAUUAUUGGGCGUAAAGAGCUCGUAGGCGGUCCGUUAAGUCGGAAGUGAAAUCUCAAGGCUCAACCUUGAAAUCGCUUUCGAUACUGGCGGACUUGAGGCAGGUAGGGGAAGGUGGAAUUCCUGGUGUAGCGGUGAAAUGCGUAGAUAUCAAGAGGAACACCUGAGGUGAAGACGGGUUGCUGGGCUGACACUGACGCUGAGGCGCGAAAGCCAGGGGAGCAAACGGG
rnacentral:rRNA from 1 species